AUUGAACGCUGGCGGCAGGCCUAACACAUGCAAGUCGAGCGAGCGGCGGACGGGUGAGUAAUGUCUGGGAAACUGCCUGAUGGAGGGGGAUAACUACUGGAAACGGUAGCUAAUACCGCAUACCAUCAGAUGUGCCCAGAUGGGAUGAGCUAGUAGGUGGGGUAACGGCUCACCUAGGCGACGAUCCCUAGCUGGUCUGGGAGGAUGACCAGCCAAACUGGAACUGAGACACGGUCCAGACUCCUACGGGAGGCAGCAGUGGGGAAUAUUGCACAAUGGGCGCAAGCCUGAUGCAGACAUGCCGCGUGUGUGAAGAAGUCCUUCGGGUUGUAAAGCACUUUCAGCGGGGAGGCGGUACCCGCAGAAGAAGCACCGGCUAACUCCGUGCCAGCCGCCGCGGUAAUAC
rnacentral:rRNA from 1 species